rnacentral:rRNA from 2 species
AAUGAGGCGAACCGGGGGAACUGAAACAUCUAAGUACCCCGAGGAAAAGAAAUCAACCGAGAUUCCCCCAGUAGCGGCGAGCGAACGGGGAGGAGCCCAGAGCCUGAAUCAGCAUGUGUGUUAGUGGAAGCGUCUGGAAAGGCGCGCGAUACAGGGUGACAGCCCCGUACACAAAAGCGCAUGUGCUGUGAGCUCGAUGAGUAGGGCGGGACACGUGGUAUCCUGUCUGAAUAUGGGGGGACCAUCCUCCAAGGCUAAAUACUCCUGACUGACCGAUAGUGAACCAGUACCGUGAGGGAAAGGCGAAAAGAACCCCGGCGAGGGGAGUGAAAAAGAACCUGAAACCGU